AUUGAACGCUGGCGGCAGGCCUAACACAUGCAAGUCGAGCGAGCGGCGGACGGGUGAGUAAUGUCUGGGAAACUGCCUGAUGGAGGGGGAUAACUACUGGAAACGGUAGCUAAUACCGCAUACCAUCAGAUGUGCCCAGAUGGGAUUAGCUAGUAGGUGGGGUAACGGCUCACCUAGGCGACGAUCCCUAGCUGGUCUGAGGGGAUGACCAGCACAACGGGAACGAGGACACGGUCCAGACUCCUACGGGGGGCAGCAGUGGGAAAAAUUGCACAAUGGGGGAAGGCCGGUUGCAGCCAGGCCGGGUGUGUGAAGAGGGCCUUCGGGUUGUAAGGCACUUUCGGCGGGGAGGCGUAACCCGCAGAAGAAGCACCGGCUAACUCCGUGCCAGCCCCGCGGUAAUAC
rnacentral:rRNA from 1 species